CUCUUGCAAGACGCGAGCGAGUCCGCCUGUGCUCCCAGAAGCCUCUGGUGCGUAUCCUCGCUGGAAACGCACUUCCGGGAUGCGGAGGGAAACUCUCCGACAGACUCCACUGUGUGGGCGAGAGAGAUGCUCUGGCUGUGAGGCGCAGCAUGUGCUCAAAAGAGAAACUGUCAAUUGUGCACAGAAGAUAAGAAAUGUAUUUGGUGCAGUGAAGAGCGCAUUUGCAAAAAAUACUGUUUUCCAUAUCAUGGCUGUAGUAUCAGUUCUAUGUAUUGGGCAAACUGUAGAGUUGACAUGUUUGGAGUCAUAA
rnacentral:lncRNA from 1 species